GAUUUCUGGUUAGAUCACUCUGGCCCGCCCCUUUCCGGGGGUGUGUGCUGGCGUGUUCUUUCCAUCCUUCUAGACUGUAUGCCUACUCUUUACUGAGCCGGGUAUGCGAUCUAGAUCGUUUACUUUGAAAAAAUUAGAGUGUUUAAAGCAGGCUUACGCUGUGAAUACAUUAGCAUGGAAUAAUGAUAUAGGACUUCGGUUCUAUUUUGUUGGUUUCUAGGACUGAAGUAAUGAUUGAUAGGGAUAGUUGGGGGUGCUAGUAUUCAGCGGCCAGAGGUGAAAUUCUCGGAUUCGCUGAAGACUAACUUAUGCGAAAGCAUU
rnacentral:rRNA from 1 species